rnacentral:lncRNA from 1 species
CUAUGCCCAAAGAACCUGCCGCCCGGAAGCAACAACUUCCAUCAAACGGCAAAGAAAAGUUCCUAGGGAGAGAGCUUAGCGCCCAAGCAGCCUGCGCUAGUGCCGAGACAGAACAGGAGAGCAGCAGACAGUGCAGGCCGGGCCAGCCUGCAGGCGGUGGCUGCGGCGGCGCUGGUAGGGCAGACCCGGGCUCCGGAAGGCUCCAGGUCCGGGGGUGGCCGCCGGCCUUGGGCACAGUGCCGGCUUUCGCACCCCUCCCCACGACCGCGAGCAGUGGGCGGAGAGAUUAGAGCAAAGGAAAAGACGGACAAUGCCUGGCCGGGCCGGCGACCUCCGUGCGGCCCCCGCCGGCCCGUCCCUACUCGGGCGGCCAGCUACCGGGCUAAGUUUCCUAAGCCCUGCCUCCAGCCCCGGCGGCGAAAGCUCGGCCGCCGCCUUCCUCCCAGCCGGGCGGUUCCCGCGAGUCUGCGAGGAGGAGGCAGCGUGCGAGCCGAGCCGGGCGCGCAAGGAGGCGGCGCGCGAGGUAAGCGGACGCGCGGGGAGCCGGCGGCGCGCGCCGAAUGAGGCCGGGCGCGCGCGGGGGGACCCGGCACGAAGAGGAAGGAGCGCGGUGGGGAGUUGGGAGCGCGGGGCUCCCCCGGGACCCCCCGCAGCUCCGACGGGGUUUCAGUUGACUCGGACUGCACCGCAGCGAGAGUCCGUUAGGAGUCUCCGCCUGGGCGCGCAGCUGGCCGACCAUCCCGGCCCGCCUCCCCCUCGCUCCCACCAGGAAGGGCAGCCGGGCGAGAGCCAGUGACCUCUCCUCCCGCCAGUGACAGGAACAAGUCUGGCACCAUCAAAGAAGAGCAGAAAUCCAAGUUGCCAAGUCAGAGUGAAGAAGAGAGAGAAGGACAAGUAUGAGCUAAAAAUGAAACUGUCAUAAGAAAGAAAAGGGGAUGGCUAUUCAGAGACUUUCUUUUCAAAUAUUCGUUGCAGAGAAAAGAUUCCCUACAACAGAGAGUCACCUAGACAUGAAAGAAAUUCUGCUUCUACAACAAUUGACAAAAAGUAGACAGAUUCAUGUUUGACCACACUGGAUACUGGAUCAAGAUGCUGGAGAUAGACCUGAGAUUAAAGAACAAAGAAAUCUUAUCCACUAAACAGUAUUGAUUAGAACCAAAAUAUUUUGUCAUUGGAGGCCUUAUGUUACCCUUAAAAAUAAACUUUCGGAUAUUUUGGAUUUUUUUUUUUUGGCUUUUUGUGUGUGUGUGUGUGUGUGUGUGUGUGUGUGUGUGUGUGUUACUGGAAACUGAACCCAGGUGCACUCUACCACUGAGCUACAUCCCUAGAUUUUUCAUUCUUAAAUGGCCUUGCUAACUUGCACAAGCUGGCCUUGAAAUUGUAAUCCACCUGCCUUAACCUUCUGAGUAGCUCAUUACAGACAUUUACCACUGCUUCCAGCUUG